UCGCUUGCCAGGGAACUACGAGCCCCAGCUUGAAACCCAAAGGACUUGGCGGUGCUUUAGACCCCCCUAGAGGAGCCUGUUCUAGAACCGAUAACCCCCGUUUAACCUCACCCUCUCUGGUCAUUUCCGCCUAUAUACCGCCGUCGUCAGCUUACCCUGUGAAGGACUAAUAGUGAGCAUAAUUGGCAUAGCCUAAAACGUCAGGUCGAGGUGUAGCGUAUGAGAGGGGAAGAAAUGGGCUACAUUUACUGGGCCAGUGAAAACGAAUGAUACCUUGAAACACUUAUCUCAAGGAGGAUUUAGCAGUAAGAGGGCAAUAGAGCGUCCCUC
rnacentral:rRNA from 1 species